AAUUAUGCCAAUAAGUUAUGUUGUGUUUGUUUACACUGUCUUAAGUGCACUCUAGAAAAUGUGUGUGUGUGUGUGUGUGUGUGUGGUGUAGAUUUCUCGAAAGAAGUUCAGGCCUUGCCCCUCCUGCCAAGCACCUAACCAGGUGAGCCGCAAAACCUGCAGCUCUUGUUUCGCAGCCAUCUCCCAAAAAAAGAAAGUAGCGGCCAAAAAAGUGACCCUGGACAGGAAGUGGGGGGAAAGGGUCCUAAAAAACAGAAAUGCAGGAAGAGUGGUGGACUCUGCCCAUAUUGCAGU